CCGGAUGAUAACUCAAGAACGUUUGGGGCUAGGAUCAUGAAACUUCACAGGUACAUUGAUCAUGACUUGCAGAUGACCCCUAUUGAUUUUGAGGUCACUAGGUCAAAGGUCAAGGUCACAGUGACCCGAAAUAGUAAAAUGGUUUCCGGAUGAUAACUCAAGAAUGCAUACGCCUAGGAUCAUGAAACUUCAUGGGUAGAUUGAUCAUGACUCGCAGAUGGCCCCUAUUGAUUUUGAGGUCACUAGGUCAAAGGUCAAGGUCACGGUGACCCGAAAUAGUAAAAUGGUUUCCGGAUGAUAACUCAAGAACGCAUACGCCUAGGAUCAUGAAACUUCAUGGGUAGAUUGAUCAUGACUCGCAGAUGACCCCUAUUGAUUUUGAGGUCACUAGGUCAAAGGUCAAGGUCACAGUGACCCGAAAUAGUAAAAUGGUUUCCGGAUGAUAACUCAAGAACGCUUAGGCCUAGGAUCAUGAAACUUGAUAGGUAGAUUGAUCAUGACUCGCAGAUGACCCCUAUUGAUUUUCAGGUCACUAGGUCAAAGGUCAAGGUCACAGUGACCCGAAAUAGUAAAAUGGUUUCCGGAUGAUAACUCAAGAACGCUUAGGCCUAGGAUCAUGAAACUUGAUAGGUAGAUUGAUCAUGACUCGCAGAUGACCCCUAUUGAUUUUCAGGUCACUAGGUCAAAGGUCAAGGUCACAGUGACCCGAAAUAGUAAAAUGGUGUCUGGAUGAUAACUCAAGAACGCUUAUGGCUAGGAUCAUGAAACUUCAUAGGUACAUUGAUCAUGACUGGCAGAUGACCCCUAUUGAUUUUCAGGUCACUAGGUCAAAGGUCAAGGUCGCAGUGACAAAAAACAUAUUCACACAAUGGCUGUCACUACAACGGAGAGCCCAUAUGGGGGGCAUGCAUGUUUUACAAACAGCCCUUGUUUAUUU